CUGAGAAUUGGAAAAGUACUGGCCCAGCUAAUCUGAGGCCUUACACCUGCAAGGCCGCAGUGGCCCUGGGUAUAGCUGUAGUCUGAUAACAGGAUGAUGUAGCCGAGAGCAGAGCAUGAGAAAAGGGAGAUGUAAGUUGUAAAGAAUGAAGAAGUAAGAAUAACCAAUAGACUGCUUAGCUUACAGAAUAUGCAUGAGCUUAUUACAUGUUGUGCUUAAAUGUCUGAUGCUCUAAUCAAUAAACGAAGCUUGCCGAUUCUCACAUUGAGAUGACCCGAGCUUCCUGCACUGUGACAAAUGGCGCCUCGAACAGAGACCCUAAAAGAGGGGGGAGGCGAAAGGGCUGGUGCUCCGCGCCUUGAACAAGGACCCUAGAGAGGGGGGUUGGCAAAAGAGCUGGUGGUCUCCGUGCCCCGAGUGACCCUACAGAGGAGUCUCAGCUUGAACCUGUUGGCCACGGUCCAGUGCAGUAUCCGUGUCGGUCCCGAAGCAGCACGGGAGGCAAAGAGCUGGUACUCCGGCCCCGAGCGACCCUAGAGAAGAGUCUCGGCCGAUGAACGCCGCCGACGUCUUGGAAGGGCUGCAACAGCGCUGACGUUUAAAUUGAAAGCCGGCAAUUGCAUUCACAGCGGUGCCGGCGGGAGUCGACCCUGUAUUACCCGUGCUGACCCCUCCCGUGGCCGCCUCCCCAGCAGAGCCCGUGAGAGCUCCGGCCGCGGCUGUCCUGCCAUCUCCCGUGUCGGCUCCACCAGCAGCUGUCUGCGCCUGCACUGCAGCUUUCGGCACCCGGAAAGGACGCGGCUGCCGUCCCCAACCCGGCAAGAGAUGCAUUUCCUUCAGCUUUGCAGCCCCCACCGACUCCCGCGGCGACCCCGCCUUCGCCUGCCGCGCCGGUGAAGAAGAUUGGAGUCGACAAUAGCGACCACCAAGCGGAACCGUCUUCAGAGCCACCCCUCUGCCCCCAACAGUAGCUGCCAGCGCCUGCAAUCAGCCAAGAUUCCCUCCCGAACUUUUCGAACUGUCCCGAGACUGCCCCUGCGGGGGCAGCUGAGACGGGGGGGAAGACGAGGAGGAGGGGGGGACGCCAUCCUGCCCCUGCGGUGCCGCAAGGGCCUGUGUAAAAACUCAGCGUUUUUUGCAAGCCGAUUCGAGUCUAGUUUAGAAGUUGCCAUUAAAGUUUAAAAUGCUUAAAUUCCCCUGCUUGCCCCAGCGGCCUAGAGAAAGUAACUCCUAAAAGUUCUGCCUCUGUUCCCCAGCCCGGGUGGGGGGGGGGGGAGGUGAGAGUAGUACCAAAGAGCUGUAAAUUAACCCUGUGAGUACACCAAAGGGAACUGCGUAACUGUAAAGAAUCUAAAAGCAUGUGCUAUAUAGACCUUUUUAACCAUUCACAGUCUAUUUACUCCCAGCUCUCUGAGUUGCAGAGGUUAACUAGAAACUUACAAGUAGAAUUAAGCUUUAGUGUUGAUAAAUAGCUCAAAACUUUAGGCCUAAGAUUAUAGCUUUGUUUUAUUCUUAAAGCUAAUAUUAUAAUAAGUAUUAUAGCUUUGUUAAUAUUAUUAGUUUUGCUUUGUUUUUGCAUGUGCUGAUAAAAAAUAGUAUAAAAAAUAAUAUUUAUUGCAUUUAAUCAAACAUUGCUUGUGCAAAAAGAAAACAGGGGAAUUGUUGGGAAUUGGUUACAUGACAAAGGUCACGUAGACAUGCUCUGGAUAGCUGAGAAUUGGAAAAGUACUGGCCCAGCUAAUCUGAGGCCUUACACCUGCAAGGCCGCAGUGGCCUUGGGUAUAGCUGUAGUCUGAUAACAGGAUGAUGUAGCCGAGAGCAGAGCAUGAGAAAA